rnacentral:tRNA from 1 species
GCCCAUAUAGCUCAGUCGGUAGAGCGCUUCCUUGGUAAGGACGAGGUCCCCGGUUCAAAUCCGGGUAUGGGCU